CGACUUGGAUACACACAUACACACGUAAAGGAAGGACAUAUCGGGACGGCAGCGGCUUCCGCUGAGCCGUCACUCUUCUUUCCACCCUCAUUUGUCCCCAUCACCUCAGGAGCGCACGCCUGCGCGCACGGCAUGAGCCAUGACGCAGACGACUCACGCCAUCUCCCUCACCGGCUCCGUCGCCACCGUCACGGAGUACCUCGGCUUUGCCAUUAAUAAUAUUCUCUACCAGCGAGGUGUCUACCCGCCAGACGACUUCCAGCAGGUGAAGAAGUUCGGUCUGUCGCUCAUGAUCUCCACUGAUGCAGAUUUGAACGCGUACCUGACGGAGCUUCUACAGCAGAUUUCGUCGUGGAUUGCGCACGGAACGUGCCGGCGUCUGGUGAUACUUAUUACCGACGUUCCGUCAGUGCAGACGCUGGAGCGGUGGGAGAUCAACAUAGAAACAGAGCCCGCAGCGUCGUCGUCGCGCUUGCACGGCGGCGGUCGCAAGAGCGAGGAGGACGUUCGCAUGGAGAUUCAAGCCGUGAUGCGGCAGAUCACCGCCUGCGUGUCCUUCCUGCCUGUGAUUACACAGCCGUGUGCCUUCGACCUGCUCGUGUACACAUCUGCAGACGCGCAGGUGCCGUCGACAGCGUGGGAGCCGAGCGACCCGCAAGUGCUCAAGCGCGGCACCGAAGUCAAACUGCGCUCCUUCACCACGUCCUUCCACCACGUCGACACGAGUGUGGUCUAUCGUGAGUAACAGGGCCACCAGCGCGUGUGUGUGCGCGUGCGCAAGAGGGGUGAAUGGAGGCGUGAAGUGGUGCGGCGACGGAGGCAAGCAACCACCUCGCCUCUCUUCCUACCCCUCCUUUUGACGCGCUGCCGCGUCUGCAUGUGCGGGCCGCUCACUGCCUCCUUAGAUGGCCAUCUGAUGCUGCCUUGGGAGGGGGGGGACUAGGACUGUGGGUGUGGGUAAAGAGAGAGAGAGCACGCCGUGAAUGGGAUGCUCGUGGUGGUGAUGGUGGCAGGGCAUGCGAUGUGCCGAUGCAUGUGUCUUUCGCGCCUCCCUCCCUUCCACUUCUCUCGCCUUGGUCAUCUGCAUCUUCAGCAGCAGCAGAAAAGCAAAGAGCGAAAAGGUCAGCGGCACCCCUCAUCAGCGCGCCUCUCCCUCUGCUGUCGUCUCAACGGUAUGUGUGUGGGCGCACAGAGGCUUGAAGAUCGCGCAACCACGCGAAGGCGCGAUGGCGAGGGCAGUGUGGGCACAAAAUGAGAAGCCGGCGGAUGCAGACUGGGCGAGGCUUGCGCAUUUUGUGGCCCGACGCUUCUCUUUGGCUCAACACGCACACGCCUUUUUAUUAUCCCUAUUCCCUGUGUGCACUGCGGCAUACGCCCCCAGCCCCAUGUGUGUGUGUGUGUGUGUCUUGUUGUAGACCUGCACCUUCUUUACUCACCGCCCCUCUCUCUCUCUCCAUGCCCUCAACCAUCGUCAUCGCUUCACCUCUUCCUUGACGGCUGGUGCACGUGUGGGGGUGAUGUGGGGAGGGAGCUGCCUUGCGUAUCCCCUCUGCUCUCCCUCCCAUCUCCGUGUCUCAUCAG
rnacentral:misc_RNA from 1 species